rnacentral:tRNA from 1 species
GGGUAUAUCUCAGUGGUAGACUGUAUGCUUGGUAUGCAUACGGCCCUGGGUUCAAUCCCCAGUACCC